UGGGGAAUUUUGGACAAUGGGCGAAAGCCUGAUCCAGCAAUGCCGCGUGUGUGAGGAAGGCCUUCGGGUUGUAAAGCACUUUUGUCCGGAAAGAAAUCCUUGGCUCUAAUACAGUCGGGGGAUGACGGUACCGGAAGAAUAAGCACCGGCUAACUACGUGCCAGCAGCCGCGGUAAUACGUAGGGUGCAAGCGUUAAUCGGAAUUACUGGGCGUAAAGCGUGCGCAGGCGGUUUGCUAAGACCGAUGUGAAAUCCCCGGGCUCAACCUGGGAACUGCAUUGGUGACUGGCAGGCUAGAGUAUGGCAGAGGGGGGUAGAAUUCCACGUGUAGCAGUGAAAUGCGUAGAGAUGUGGAGGAAUACCGAUGGCGAAGGCAGCCCCCUGGGCCAAUACUGACGCUCAUGCACGAAAGCGUGGGGAGCAAACAGGAUUAGAUACCCGUGGUAGUCCAGCGCCCUAAACGAUGUCAACUAGUUGUUGGGGAUUCAUUUCCUUAGUAACGUAGCUAACGCGUGAAGUUGACCGCCUGGGGAGUACGGUCGCAAGAUUAAAACUCAAGGAAUUGACGGGGUCAUAGCUGUUUCCU
rnacentral:rRNA from 1 species